rnacentral:rRNA from 1 species
GACGAACGCUGGCGGCGUGCUUAACACAUGCAAGUCGAACGGAAAGGCCCCUUUGGGGGUACUCGAGUGGCGAACGGGUGAGUAACACGUGCGUAACCUGCCCUUGACUUCGGGAUAACUUCAGGAAACUGGGUCUAAUACCUGAUAGGAAUCCUUUCUUCAUGGUGGGGGUUGGUAAGCUUCGGCGGGUUUGGAUGGACUCGCGGCUUAUCAGCUUGUUGGUGGGGUGGUGGGUUACCAAGGGUUUGUCGGGUAGCCGGCCUGAGGGGGCGAGCGGCCACAAUGGGGCUGAGGUACGGCCCAGACUCCUACGGGAGGGCACAGGGGGGAAUAUUGCACAAUGGGCGGAAGCCUGAUGCAGCAACGCCGCGGGCGGGAUGACGGCCUUCGGGUUGUAAAACGCGUUCAGCAGGGGCGAAGCUUGUGGUGACGGUACCUGCUGAAGAAGCACCGGCUAACUACGUG